rnacentral:rRNA from 1 species
AAGGUUUAACCUGCCCACUGAAUAAUUUAAAUGGCCGCAGUAUUUUAACUGUGCAAAGGUAGCAUAAUCAUUAGUUUUUUAAUUAAAAGCUUGUAUGAAAGGUUGGACGAGGUAAAAACUGUCUCUAUUUAAUUUAUUAUAAAAUUUAAUUUUUAAGUUAAAAAGCUUAAAUUUUUUUAAAAGACGAGAAGACCCUAUAGAUCUUUAUAUUUAUUAUUUUAUUUUUAAUUAAGAUUUAUUUAAAUUUUAUUAUAUUAAAUAUUUUAUUGGGGUAAUAAGAAGAUUAAAAAAAUUCUUUUUUAUAUUAUUCAUUGAUUAAUGUUUUAAUGAUCCAAUUUUAUUGAUUAUAAGAUUAAGUUACCUUAGGGAUAACAGCGUAAUUUUUUUAGAGAGUUCAUAUCGAUAAAAAAGUUUGCGACCUCGAUGUUGGAUUAAAGAUUAAUUUAGGUGUAGAUGUUUAAAUUUUUGGUCUGUUCGACCAUUGAAUCUUUACAUGAUCUGAGUUCAGACCGGUGUAAGCCAGGUCGGUUUCUAUCUUUAAUAAUUUAAUAUAUUUUAGUACGAAAGGACCAAAUAUAUAAUAUAUAAAUAUUUAAUUGUUUUGAAUAUUAUUAAUUAUUUUGGCAGAUUAGUGCAAUGAAUUUAGAAUUCAUAUAUGUAAAUUUUUACAAGUAAUACUUGUUUUAUAUAGAUAUAAUAUUUUCUUUUAUUUGUAUAUUAUUAUUAAUUAUUUGUGUAUUA